CACUAAAAUCUGUCACCUUUAUUUUUUAUAUCAUUGAUAGACAUUUUGGACCAUAUCCUCAGCUGGUGUGAAUUGCCACAGCAACAUUGGCUUCAAUGAAGUAUCUAGCCUACUACCUCCAAGAAAGAGUUACAUUGUGGAAUGGCCAGACAACGUUGGCCAACAAGCAUUGCAUGACACUAUGAGGCUUCACUAUGAAAGUUCUGCACAGCUCUAGUCACCAGUUUACAAAUGGAGAUGAAUAUUCAGUGGAGUACAGGAGUAUAUCAAGAAUUCACCAGUGACUGUGACCUUACACUCACUAGCUAACUAGUUAUUGCAAAAUAUUUUCCCCUUCCUUGGAAGGAUUACAGACUUUGAUAUCUUGGAUUUUCUAUAUUUUCAGUGUGGAAAUAAAUAGACAUGAAGUGCUUUUAUAACUGGAAGGCAAAGUCAUUACAGAUGACUACAAAUGUGAGGAAUAUUCUAACGUGUUGCAACUUGACGUCUAAAUCAUGAUUUGAGGACUU
rnacentral:lncRNA from 1 species